UACAGAGGCCUCGAGCGUUAGGCGGAAUCACUGGGCUUAAAGCGUGUGUAGGCGGACUUCUAAGUACCUUGUGAAAUCCCACGGCUCACCCGUGGAACUGCUGCGGUAUACUGGUCGUCUUGACGCCUUCGUAGGGGCGAGUGGAACAAAUGGUGGAGCGGUGGAAAUGCGUAGAUAUCGCUUGGAACGUGACCGAAGGUAGGUAAAAACAGGGUUGCUGGGGGUUGUGCCGACGCU
rnacentral:rRNA from 1 species